AUUGAACGCUGGCGGCAUGCCUUACACAUGCAAGUCGAACGGUAACGGGCCUUCGGGUGCCGCCGAGUGGCGCACGGGUGAGUAAUACAUCGGAACGUGCCCGAUCGUGGGGGAUAACGAGGCGAAAGCUUUGCUAAUACCGCAUACGAUCUACGGAUGAAAGCAGGGGACCGCAAGGCCUUGCGCGGACGGAGCGGCCGAUGGCAGAUUAGGUAGUUGGUGGGAUAAAAGCUUACCAAGCCGACGAUCUGUAGCUGGUCUGAGAGGAUGAUCAGCCACACUGGGACUGAGACACGGCCCAGACUCCUACGGGAGGCAGCAGUGGGGAAUUUUGGACAAUGGGCGCAAGCCUGAUCCGGCCAUGCCGCGUGCAGGAUGAAGGCCUUCGGGUUGUAAACUGCUUCUGUACGGAACGAAAAGCCUUCUUUUAAUACAGGAGGGUCAUGACGGUACCGUAAGAAUAAGCACCGGCUAACUACGUG
rnacentral:rRNA from 1 species